rnacentral:lncRNA from 1 species
CUUUAUAUAUUACUCAGUCUCAGGUAUUUCUUUUCUUUUUUUUUUUUUUUUUUGAGAUGGAGUCUCGCUCUGUCACCCAGGCUGGAGUGCAGUGGCGCGAUCUCGGCUCACUGCAAACUUUGCCUCCCGGGUUCACACCAUUCUCCUGCCUCAGCCUCCCGAGUAGCUGGGACUACAGGUACCCACCACCGCACCCGGCUAAUUUUUUGUAUUUUUAGUAGAGACGGGGUUUCACCGUGUUAACCAGGAUGGUCUCGACAAAAAAGAGGUUUAACUGACGCACAGUUCUGCAGUCUGUACAGGAAGCGUAGCAGCAUCAUCUUCUGAGGAGGCCUCAGGAAGCCUCCAAUCAUAACAGAAGGCAAAGGGGAAGAAGGCAUGUCAUCGGCUUUAGUGACAGUGUGGUUCUGGGUUACCCGCUAUGUUCAGGGCCAGUGGGAGACAAGGUCCCUGUUUCCCACUAGUGCCCCUCUAAGACACUACCCAUCCCUGCUGUGACAUUUGCCACACUUCCGAUUCUAUGUGGGCCCCACUGGGCAAUUCCAAACCACCUGUUUAGAUCACAGUUUCUCAACCUUCUAGUCUUCACUAUUGUGAACAGUGCUGCAAUGAACAUUCACGUGCUGUGUCUUUAUGGUAGAAUGCUUUAUAUUCCUCUGGGUAUAUACCCAAUAGUGGGAUUGCUGGAUUGAAUGGUAGUUCUACUUUUAGCUCUUUGAGGAAUUGCCAUACUGUUUUACACAAGGGUUG